rnacentral:rRNA from 1 species
UACGGAGGGUGCGAGCGUUGUUCGGAAUCACUGGGCGUAAAGCGCGUGUAGGCGGCUUCUUAAGUCUGGUGUGAAAGCCCGGGGCUUACCCCCGGAAGGGCACUGGAAACUGGGGAGCUGGAGUACCGGAGAGGAGGGUGGAAUUCCUGGUGUAGCGGUGAAAUGCGCAGAUAUCAGGAAGAACACCCGUGGCGAAGGCGGCUCUCUGGACAGUUCCUGACGCUGAGGCACGAAGGUCAGGGGAGCAAACGGG